AUACGGAGGACGCGAGCGUUAUCCGGAUUCAUUGGGUUUAAAGGGUGCGCAGGCGGCCGUGCAAGUCAGCGGUGAAAGCCCGGGGCUCAACCCCGGAAGUGCCGUUGAUACUGCAUGGCUGGAAUGCGGUCGAGGCGGGCGGAACGUGGCGGGUAGCGGUGAAAUGAGUAGAUAUGCCACAGAACGCCGAUAGCGGGGGCGGCCGGCCAGGCCUGCAUUGACGCUGGGGCACGAAAGCGUGGGGAUCGAACAGGAUUAGAUACCCGGGUAGUCCACGCCGUAAACGAUGGGCGCUCGUCGUCGGCGGCAGACAGUCGGCGGCCAAGCGAAAGCGAUAAGCGCCCCACCUGGGGAGUACGGUCGCAAGGCUGAAACUCAAAUGAAUUGACGGGG
rnacentral:rRNA from 1 species